rnacentral:rRNA from 1 species
GUGGGGAAUAUUGGACAAUGGGCGAAAGCCUGAUCCAGCCAUGCCGCGUGUGUGAAGAAGGUCUUCGGAUUGUAAAGCACUUUAAGUUGGGAGGAAGGGCAGUAAGUUAAUACCUUGCUGUUUUGACGUUACCGACAGAAUAAGCACCGGCUAACUUCGUGCCAGCAGCCGCGGUAAUACGAAGGGUGCAAGCGUUAAUCGGAAUUACUGGGCGUAAAGCGCGCGUAGGUGGUUUUGUAAGUUGGAGGUGAAAUCCCCGGGCUCAACCUGGGAACUGCCUCCCAAACUGCAUGACUAGAGUACGGUAGAGGGUAGUGGAAUUUCCUGUGUAGCGGUGAAAUGCGUAGAUAUAGGAAGGAACACCAGUGGCUAAGGCGACUACCUGGACUGAUACUGACACUGAGGUGCGAAAGCGUGGGGAGCAAACAGGAUUAGAAACCCCAGUAGUCC